CUUGGGGCCAAUCUCUCUCUGGCUGACUCUCUUUCUUGUGCAUUGGAAGGGUGGAAGAAAGUAGAAACAAGGUGGCUAAAAAAUUUAAAAGGUGGGUAUGCCUGUCUGUCACACGGGCCCCCUACAAGAAUUAUGGUAUGGAGGGAGAUGUCUAAGAGUAGAGGUAUUGGCCUUUAUUUAUAGUUGUUAGAAAAGAAAAGGUGUUUAUAGUUUUUAGAUGUGGAACUAAAAAGAAAUAGUAGAUGAAUAGAUAAGAUUUUAUUUACAAAGAAUGGAUGAAUGGAUGCUGAAUC
rnacentral:lncRNA from 1 species